rnacentral:tRNA from 1 species
GUCAACGUGGUGAAGAAUCAUACUGCUCUUUCAUAGCAGAGUAAAAAGAUAGUUUUCGUUGACU